UAUUUUUCGUUGUGUUUUGUUGUGGUUUGAGAUGCACGUUUUUAUUUUUUAAACCAUGCUACUGUGGAGAUGUUAAUGAUCUCGGGGUCCCCCUUUUUUAGUGAAAAAAAUGCAUUUUGCAAAUAAAUAAAAUAGCAAUUGGGAGGAAAUAAAAUGAUCUUUUCUGAGUUAUAUGCAAACUAAUAGUUGCAUUUGGGUAUGUGAACCGUCUGCAAGCAGCUUGCAUAAUGUUUUAUUCUGUUUCUAUUUGAUUUUUUGCGUUUUUUUAAAUUGUGACAACGGAAAAUUACAGGGAGCAGGGACUUGUGGGAGCCUGCAGGUCACCCUUUGUUUUGUAAGUUUUAGGACCGCCAGCAGGAGGUCAUCGGGGGAACGGGGGGAGGGGAGAACUCCUUGUAAAUUUGGGAGUUACUGAUUUCUGGCAUCUGGCCACCGCUCAGCCACCUAUUCAAGUUAUGGGAGUGAAGCAGCGCUGGAAGGAACUUGGAAGAACCUUUUGCGACGGCAGCGGUUAGUGAAGUAAAGCCUCAAAGGAACACUUUGUUGAUUGGAAAUUUUAAAACUCUGUAGGCCCGAAGCACAAAAGAGAGGGAUUGACAGCGCAAAAUAGAUUUCUAACAGGUUUAAAUGCAGAGUGUGAAUUUGUUGGGAUUUCUUAAAUUCCUUCUUUCAUCUAAUCCAGGACAGAAACCAGUUGUUUUUCUCAAUAUACAUUAAACUAACUCGUUUUCUUUUCUGUACAACCUUUUUUAACCUGUUAAACCCCUAAAAAAACAAAACAAAUAUAUACAUAUAUGAUCUGCCUGAAAAAGGGUGAAAAAUGUAAGCUGCUGCAGCACUGUUAGAAUGGUGUCACUGUGCCAUCUAAAGCCGGAGGACCAAUCCCAGCUCAGGUAAGCUUGAGUGACUAAGGGGUUCAAGCAUCAGCCCAAUCACACCACAGCACUCAGCCAAUCAAGGGUUCUGGUCAUUCUACACUGUUUUACGAACUGAAAUUGCUGACUGUGUUCAGAGAGAGCCUUUUUAUGUAAACAUUCUGCUGCAUACCACUCAACCCCUGCAAGAAGAGAUGGAGAUCUUACAUUUUUAGAACAUGUGUGCAUGGGUAAGCAGCUCCUGAGAGCAUGCAUGUGAGAAGGUAAAUUACAUGCAUGGCAAAAGGGUAAAAAGUAACCCUCACUGGUGAGUUUUGAGACUAAUUCUGGGUAGAAUUAAAUCACAAUAGAUGGGUUUGUGCAGGAUUUUCUGCAAAAAAUCUGCACCCCAAUUCAAAUAUACAGAAACUCUACUCACCAGUCCCUCAGUAAUGGGAUUAUUUAGGCUUUUUUUUCUUCCUGUGUAGCCUUGAGACAGCCUCGUCCUUCACUGAAAUCUCCUUUUCAUUUUCUGAUGCAGCAUUUUGCACAAGUUGCAGACAAUAUACCUUUCGAUGUGUUUUUAUAAAAUCAUCUUUUUGCUUUUCUUUACGCAGUUCAAGACUUCAGUGCAGAAUUCUCUUUUUCUCUGCAUCUCAUUGUCAAUGGAAGAGCCAGUACUGGUUUGAACCAGCAUGAUGUGUUACACAACAAUGCAGCAAAGCUGAAGAUGACAUGCACAGACAGUGAAGUUGCAACCAAAUGACACAUACACCUUUUUUUUUGCUGUUCUGUUUGUCAUUUUGUGGUCAACAGCUUAAAAUGCAUCACUUAAAAAAAACCAACAAGAUGUAAACAAGUUCCCGGGCAUUUAAGCAGCCGGAUGUACAACUGAUCCCGCCUGUACAUUCCAGUGGUUGUCAUAGCAACAAGGGCAGCAUCCCUCUCCAUCCUUUGUCCAGUGUUUCCCCAUCACUUGAGCUUCCCAGGCAGGAGGAUAUGGAUUCUGAAUGCAAAUCAAACUCCUAAUUUGUGCUUCAAAAGAAAAGAAAAAACAGGAGCUGCUGGAUGGAUGUGAUGAGGCAGCUUUCAGAUACCAUCACUGUUAUUCCCCUCAUCCUGGCAAGAUGCUACAUCACAAAAAACAAAAA